rnacentral:rRNA from 1 species
AGUUCGAUUAUGGCUCAGAUUGAACGCUGGCGGGAUGCUUUACACAUGCAAGUCGAACGGCAGCACGGACUUUGGCCUGGUGGCGAGUGGCGAACGGGUGAGUAAUGUAUCGGAACGUGCCUAGUAGCGGGCUAACUACGCGAAAGCGUAGCUAAUACUGCACGCCCUUCGGGGGAAAGCGGGGACCUUCGGCCCCGCACUAUUAGAGCGGCCGAUAUCGGAUUAGCUAGUUGCGGGGUAACGGUCACCAAGGCGACGAUCCGUAGCUGGUUUGAGAGGACGACCAGCCACACUGGGACUGAGACACGGCUCAGACUCCUACGGGAGGCAGCAGUGGGGAAUUUUGACAAUGGGGGAAACUCCCGUGAUCCAGCCAUCCGCGUGUGCGACAAAGGCCUCGGGUUGUGGAAGCACUUUGGUAUAAAAGAAACGGCACGGAGCACAAUACCCUGCGUGUAACUGAUGGUAACGGCAGAAUAAGCACCUCGGCUAACUACGCCAUACGCGGUAAUACGUAGGGUGCAAGCGUUAAUCGGAAUUACUGGGCGUAAAAGUGCGCAGGCGGUUCGGAAAGAAAGACGGUGAAAUCCCAGAGCUUAACUUUGGAACUGCAUUUCCCUUAACUACCGAGCUAGAGUGUCAGAGGAGGUGGAAUUCCGCGUAGCAGUGAAAUGCGCAGAUAUGCGGAGGAACACCGAUGGCGAAGGUAGCCUCCUGGGAUAACACUGACGCUCAUGCACGAAAGCGUGGGAGCAAAUGGGGAUUAGAUACCCUGGUAGUCCACGCCUCAAACGAUGUCAACUAGCUGUUGGGGCCCGGGCCUGGUAGCGCAGCUAACGCAGCAGUUGACCGCCUGGGGAGCAUGGUCGCAAGAUUAAAACUCAAAGGAAUUGACGGGGACCCGCACACGGUGGAUGAUGUGGAUUAAUUCGAUGCAACGAAACCUUACCUACCCUGAUAUGUCUGGAAUCCUGAAGAGAUUUGGGAGUGCUCGCAAGAGAACCGAAACACAGGUGCUACGGCUGUCGUCAGCUCGUGUCGUGAGAUGUUGGGUUAAGUCCCACAACGAGCGCACCCCUCAUUGCCAGUUGCCAAGGAAAGGGCACUCUAAUGAGACUGCCGGUGACAAACCGAGGAAGGUGGGGAUGACGUCAAGUCCUCAUGGCCCUUAUGGGUAGGGCUUCACACGUCAUACAAUGGUCGUGGACAGAGGGGUCGCCAACUGCCAGGGGAGCUAAUCCCAGAAACCGAUCGUAGUCCGGAUCGCAGUCUGCAACUCGACUGCGGAAGCCGGAAUCGCCAGUAAUCGCGGACUGCGCAUGUCGCGGGUAACACGUUCCCGGUCUUGUACACACCGCCCGUCACACCAUGGGAGUGGGUUUUACCAGAAGUAGUUAGCCUAACCGUAAGGAGGGCGAUUACCACGGUAGGAUUCAGCACUGGGGUAGUCGUAACAAGGUAG